ACCAUAGUUUGUAUAUAUUGCUGGUACUGAUUUGCUUUUACUGAAUUUCAACCUGCUGUUUAUUUGUCAUACAUAUGAAGAUUACGACGAAUUCAUGAGCAUAUCCAAAGAGGAAAUGUUUCUACUCAUUAUUUUGUGUGAGAGAAAACAGGGGAAUUUGGGAGAGAGGUGAGAGAAGACACAGCCAGGAAUUAAAACAUAGUUGUUGGGUGGUAGUUAUAAGAUAUUAUUAAAAUAUAGGAGAGAGAAUAUAGAUGUCCUGAAUAUUGACCAUCCACUGAAAAACUAGGAAGAUCUAAAAAAAGAAUCUUUUUAGAUCAAUGUCUAUACGAAGAUAUAGACAACCAAAUUUAGACCAUCCACUAGAGAUGCUCUGAUGGGGCCACUUGCCAGAAUCGGAGAUCCAGGGGUGAAAGAUAGGAGCAGACCAUGAGGGGGCGUAUCUCUCCGGCGCGUACCCUACAGUUCGGGGGUCACCUUGCCUUCAUCUACAAAAUAUGAAGCCACCCCCGGUGCAUCCAGUGCGGCCAUAUCAAGAGGUAGAACCACCGUUGCGAAAAUCGCUCCAGGAAUCGUCAUCUGACCGCCGCUCACUGCUAGCUGCAUGGGAGAAGGCUAUUACCGAUGUCGUGGAGAGUGGUGCGGCCACAGUGAAGUGAACUUUGUAAUUCAUAUCUGGAGGGCGUCCAUGAUAUGCACCAGUGCAAGCAGUAGCUCCCCUCUCCCUCUAAGCAUGCAUCACCUGAUGAUUUAGCUGUUGGUGAUUCGGCAGCUGUCGAAGUUAUCCAGUUCAGCAAGAGGAGUACGCGCAAAACUGCCCGGAGGUCCACAU